rnacentral:rRNA from 1 species
AUACGGAAGGUCCGGGCGUUAUCUGGAUUUAUUGGGUUUAAAGGGAGCGCAGGCGGAGAUGCAAGCGUGACGUCAAAUUUCGGGGCUCAACCCCGUCUCGCGUCGCGAACUGCGUCCCUUGGUUGCGGGAAGGGGAGGCGGAACUCGUGGUGUAGCGGUGGAAUGCAUAGAUAUCACGAAGAACUCCGAUCACGAAGGCAUCCUUCCGGACCGGCAACGACGCUCAUGCCCGAUGGUGCGGGUAUUAAACAGGAUUCGAUUCCCUGGUCGUCCGCACAGCAAACGAUGGACACCCGCGGUUUAGCAUGUAUGGCUGCGCCGCCAAGCGACAGCGUUAAGUGUCCCCCCUGGGCACUACGCCAGCAACGGUGAAACUCAAAGGAAUGGACGAUG